rnacentral:lncRNA from 1 species
CUGACCCAAAGUCCACUGAGCUGAAGACAUGUGACUAUUAUCUUUGGGAAGUCACACCAUUUAUUAGGUCUCAGCCUAAUAGGUUACUCAUCACACCAUCAUAAUUCACUGGUCAUGUUAAUGUGUGUGUGUUCAGUGGAAAGCUAUGUUAGCGUUAGCAUUAGUGUUAGUGCAGCAUCAGAGAGCUGGCUGAUGAUCUUACACUGUGACAUCUCUGUACUCGAUGACACACACACAGAUCAACGUGUAGCUAUGUUAUUCGUGUCAGUGUAGCUAUGUUGUUAGCAUCAUUGUGUAGCUAUGUUGUAAGCAUCAAAGUAGCUAUGUUGUUAGCAUCAUUGUAGCUAUGUUGUUAGCGUCAGUGUAGCUAUGUUGUUAGCGUCAGAGUAGCUAUGUUGUUGGCAUCAGAGUAUGUUAGCAUCAUUGUGUAGCUAUGUUGUUAGCAUCAUUGUAGCUAUGUUGUUAGCGUCAGUGUAGCUAUGUUGUUAGCCUAUGUGUAGCUGUGUAGCUAUGUUGUUAGCGUCAGUGUAGCUAUGUUGUUAGUGUCAGUGUAGCUAUGUUGUUAGCAUCAUUGUGUAGCUAUGUUGUUAGCAUCAUUGUGAAGCUAUGUUGUUAGCGUCAGUGUAGCUAUAUUGUUAGUGUCAGUGUGGCUAUGUUAUUAGCGUCAUUGUGAAGCUAUGUUGUUAGCGUCAGUGUAGCUAUGUUGUUAGCAUCAUUGUGUAGCUAUGUUGUUAGCAUCAGAGUAGCUAUGUUGUUAGCAUCAGAGUAUGUUGUUCGCAUCAUUGUGUAGCUAUGUUGUUAGCGUCAGUGUAGCUAUGUUGUUAGCAUCAGAGUAUGUUGUUAGCAUCAUUGUGUAGCUAUGUUGUUUGGCGUCAGUGUAGCUAUGUUGUUAGCAUCAUUGUGUUGUGUUAAACAAAACCCACCACCACUUGAUGCUAAAUGCAUCAUACCGGCUGUAUUUUUUAAAAGUUAUAUAUGUUGAAAACUUGAUUGUAAAACAUGUUAGGACUAUAUCAACAACGGACUCAUGAAAGACAUACCGACAGAUAGUUGUUGGUUCCUUUAAGGAAGAACGAUGUAGAGAUUUGACUAGGAAAUAUAUGUAGUGUUCACAAAUAAUGAAACGUCCCGAUGUAUCACUCAUUACUACUGAAAUGACCG